AUUGAACGCUGGCGGCAUGCCUUACACAUGCAAGUCGAACGGUAACGCGGGGCAACCUGGCGACGAGUGGCGAACGGGUGAGUAAUACAUCGGAACGUGCCCAGUAGUGGGGGAUAGCCCGGCGAAAGCCGGAUUAAUACCGCAUACGACCUACGGGUGAAAGCGGGGGACCGCAAGGCCUCGCGCUAUUGGAGCGGCCGAUGUCAGAUUAGGUAGUUGGUGGGGUAAAGGCCUACCAAGCCUACGAUCUGUAGCUGGUCUGAGAGGACGACCAGCCACACUGGGACUGAGACACGGCCCAGACUCCUACGGGAGGCAGCAGUGGGGAAUUUUGGACAAUGGGCGAAAGCCUGAUCCAGCCAUGCCGCGUGCGGGAAGAAGGCCUCGGUUGUAACGACUUUGUCUAGGAAGAACGUACUUGGAGUAAUACCCGACGAUAAUAGACGGUACCGUGAAGAAUAAGACACCGGCGUAACUACGUAGCCAGCAG
rnacentral:rRNA from 1 species